GAGAUGUUAGUAAACCAAUUACAUAGCCUUGUCAAGGCUAAAUUAUAGGUCAAACCCCUAUACAACUCA
rnacentral:tRNA from 1 species